rnacentral:tRNA from 1 species
UGUAAGCCAGGUUGGUUUCUAUCUUUAAUUUAUUUAGAUAUCUUAGUACGAAAGGAUUGGAUAUUAAAUUAAAAAUUUAUUUUUUUGAAUAAUAUGUUAUUUUGGCAGAAUAGUGCAAUAGAUUUAGAAUCUUUUUAUGUAAUUUAUAUUACAGAUAA